CAGUGUAUGUGUAAGUGUACACACUACAUACAAAUGCACAACUGCAUUCAAAUACCAACAUUCACACACAUACUCCAUAACAUGUUUACAUUCAAACACAAAUAUGUGUGUGAAUGUUGGUAUUUGAAUGCAGGUGUGCAUUUGUAUGUAGUGUGUACACUUACACAUACA